rnacentral:rRNA from 1 species
UACGUAGGGGGCGAGCGUUGUCCGGAUUUAUUGGGCGUAAAGAGCGUGUAGGCGGCCAGGUAGGUCUGCUGUGAAAACUCGAGGCUCAACCUCGAGACGUCGGCGGAAACCAUCUGGCUAGAGUCCGGAAGAGGAGAGUGGAAUUCCUGGUGUAGCGGUGAAAUGCGCAGAUAUGACAUAGAACACCAAUUGCGAAGGCAGCUCACUACACAAUUAUUGACGCUGAGGCACGAAAGCGUGGGGAUCAAACAGG